rnacentral:rRNA from 1 species
GCUGGCGGCGUGCUUAACACAUGCAAGUCGAACGGAAAGUGCCCAGCUUGCUGGGUGACUCGAGUGGCGAACGGGUGAGUAACACGUGGGUGAUCUGCCCUGCACUUUGGGAUAAGCCUGGGAAACUGGGUCUAAUACCGAAUAUUUCCUGCUGGUCGCAUGGCCUGGUGGGGGAAAGCUUUUGCGGUGUGGGAUGGGCCCGCGGCCUAUCAGCUUGUUGGUGGGGUGAUGGCCUACCAAGGCGACGACGGGUAGCCGGCCUGAGAGGGUGUCCGGCCACACUGGGACUGAGAUACGGCCCAGACUCCUACGGGAGGCAGCAGUGGGGAAUAUUGCACAAUGGGCGCAAGCCUGAUGCAGCGACGCCGCGUGAGGGAUGACGGCCUUCGGGUUGUAAACCUCUUUCAAUAGGGACGAAGGGUGACUGACGGUACCUACAGAAGAAGCACCGGCCAACUACGUGCCAGCAGCCGCGGUAAUACGUA